CCUACGGGUGGCUGCAGUGGGGAAUAUUGCACAAUGGGCGAAAGCCUGAUGCAGCAACGCCGCGUGAGCGAUGAAGGCCUUUGGGUCGUAAAGCUCUGUCCUUGGGGAAGAAACAAAUGACGGUACCCUUGGAGGAAGCCCCGGCUAACUACGUGCCAGCAGCCGCGGUAAUACGUAGGGGGCGAGCGUUAUCCGGAAUUAUUGGGCGUAAAGAGUGCGUAGGUGGCCAUGUAAGCGCGGGGUGAAAGGCAAUAGCUUAACUAUUGUAAGCCUUGCGAACUGUGUGGCUUGAGUGCAGGAGAGGAAAGUGGAAUUCCUAGUGUAGCGGUGAAAUGCGUAGAUAUUAGGAGGAACACCAGUGGCGAAGGCGACUUUCUGGACUGUAACUGACACUGAGGCACGAAAGCGUGGGGAGCAAACAGGAUUAGAUACCCGGGUAGUC
rnacentral:rRNA from 1 species